UCUUGUAUGGGAAAUCAAGG
rnacentral:piRNA from 1 species